rnacentral:tRNA from 1 species
GAGGGUCUAGCUCAGUGGUAGAGAGCAUGCUUAGCAUGCAUGAGGUCCUGGGUUCAAUCCCAAGCUCCUCC